rnacentral:tRNA from 1 species
CGGGAUGUAGCGCAGCCUGGUAGCGCGUUCGCUUGGGGUGCGAAAGGUCGUGAGUUCAAAUCUCGCCAUCCCGA